GUAAAUAUAGUUUAAUAAAAAUAUUAGAUUGUGAUUUUAAAGACAGGGGUUAAAAUCCCCUUAUUCACC
rnacentral:tRNA from 1 species